rnacentral:lncRNA from 1 species
UGGGGCCCUUAAAACUCCACUUUAUAUUAAAUCUAAUCUCCUCAAGGUAUUCUCUGCAAGAAACUUGGAUGUUACGCUAUGAUUUUUCAAUUACAUUCCACAUAUGCAGUGACCGGAAGCUCUUGAUGUGAUAGGUUUCCUCCCUCUGUACCAAUGAAGCAUGUAUCUUCCACCUAUAGCUAAACUUGAAUACAACUAUUACCUGACUUCUUUCAUUCUACUUGUACAUAAAAUCAAAUCCUUUUUAAAUCCAUUAAAGCCACUGCACCUUCCUAGACAUGAUGAUGUUGCUGAAUCUCAUCCUAACCACAAGUUUGAUUUUCUAUUUAAUAUUUGAAGUUGCAUUAAAUUCGGGAUACUUUGAACCCCAAAUCCCAUCAUUUGAAUCAUUAUCACUAGCCAAGCU